AAAUUGAAUGAUGCCGACAACCGCAUAAGUGACCUUUGAAGUAACUCCUUCCCAAUCGAACCUUCAGAUGAGAUGAACUUUCAGAAGAGUUAUAUGUGGUUACAUGUGACCAGUGCCAACACGAGGUAUAUUCAGAGCCCCUGGCUUUCUAGUUGGCAGAAACAAACAUCCAUGCGGCCAACGUUGUAGUACGUACCUUCCUUUACGAAGCUGAAAGACUCCCAAGAAACAGACGUGACUAGAAAUUACCUCCUAAAGAAACCAUCAAAACACGGUUCACCUCAUGAACAUUCCAUUUAUCUCCCGAUCUAGCUGAGGUGGCCCGUGUUUCGUUCCUUGAUCGUGCUACCCUCUCUCUCCCAGGAUGGGCCACACCUGCCCCCAGCCUCUCUUGUUUAUUCCUUAGUAUCAUGGAAGAGGUCUUUUACAAGCGGACUCAAACACUUCAGCAGAGGAAUACUGUUGUGUUUCUCAGAAGAACUGCUCGCAUCAGACCACGGGUCACCAGGGCAGGACUUGCCACGGGCCCCAUCUCACCGACAAUUUCCAUUACACAUUCCUGACCGUGCACUGAAUAUUUUACUAAAGACAAGCAUCCAGAACACUACGCCUGCACAAUAAAGGCUCUCCCCCACCAGCUUCAGAAAUGAGUGACAAGAAUUUUAUUAGUCAAGGAGAUGUCUAUUGAAGCAAUGCAACAGUGAUUUUAUUGCUGCUUAAGUGGAAAGCUUUAUUGUGUACGUCUUUGUUUGCUUUUAAUCAUUCUGUGACACUCCGAUGGGUGGUAUAGAAAUGUAAAGAUAAUGUUCUUGAAAGGCUCGUGUGAUUGUUUGAAAACAUAAAGGAAUAAAACUUAAUUAACAAAA